rnacentral:rRNA from 1 species
CGAAGGUAGCAUAAUCAGUAGUCUUUUAAUUGAAGGCUUGUAUGAAUGGUUGGACGAAAUAUUAACUGUUUCAUUUAAAAUUUUUAUAGAAUUUUAUUUUUUAGUCAAAAAGCUAAAAUAUAAUUAAAAGACGAGAAGACCCUAUAAAUCUUGAUAUUUAAAUUAAUUUUAAUUAUAAAGAUUAAUUAAAUUAUAAUUAGUUAAAAUAUUUUAUUGGGGUGAUAUUAAAAUUUAAAAAACUUUUAAUUUUGUUUUUACAUUAAUUUAUGAUUUUAUGAUCCAUUAAUAAUGAUUAAAAAUUUAAGUUACUUUAGGGAUAACAGCGUAAUUUUUUUGGAGAGUUCAUAUUGAUAAAAAAGAUUGCGACCUCGAUGUUGGAUUAA